AAUGUCUAAAAUAAACAUUCGAAAGUCGAAACACUGUCCAAAAAAAAAAGAACAAUUGCAAUUAAAAUUACAUUGUCAUUGUACUAAAAUUCAUUUUUUGAUUCAAAAUUUGUCAUUUUUCAGACUUCAUAACUUCUUUCAUCAACAGAAGUAGAGAUCACACAAGAUGGAUCCUGAAAAACAAAAGAAUAUUGUAAUCAAUAUCAUUAUAAUAACUACGAUUAAAAUUUACAUUAUCUAAUAAAGAAAAAUACCUCUUCAUCAACAUCCUCAUCAUUCAUCUUGGAGCAAGAUCCAAAAUAUGCAGACGGCACAGAAUUCACUAUUAAUAAGGUAAAAUAAAUUAGUAAUAAGAAAAUAAAUAACAUGAACAACAGAAAAGCAAAUGUUUAUA
rnacentral:lncRNA from 1 species